AGCCGCCUACAUAAACACAGAGAAGAGAAUCCAACAACUCUCUCUUCCUUCCUUUCUCUCUUGUCCGAGUCUCAGUUUCAACUUCAAGCCACCAAAGACCAGACUCCAUUGACAGAGACAGAGGGUCCUUCCUCUUGUUCAGACUAAUUCUUCCAACUAGUCUCUAUCUCUAUAGACUUUUUAACUCCUUCAUCUUCUUCUUACGUUACAUUUAGUUAUUUCAGAAUCAAGUUGGUAGCUUUGCAUUUUAAACAAUAAUUGACAUUUUUGAUUCAUUAUUAGGUCCAACACCACAUUCUCUGACAUUUGAAGGGAAAAAAAAACCUUUUAAAUUGGGGUUCAAUUUCAUAGCUUUUGGGGGUAUUCUGAUUUUGGGGUCUGAUCAAAAUUUAAGCUUUUGGGUGGUCUGGAUAAUGCAAGCACUUUCAGGCAUCGAUCACCCAGAAACAAAAAAGAUGAGAAAUUUUGCUGGAAGAUUUUGUUGGCUGCCAUGUCAACUGUUCUGUGUAUAUAUAUUCUGAAGAAGUCAUCUAGUUUUACUACCCCAAGCCCGAUAAGUUUUUGACCAAUAAAAAUGAUCUCUACUUGUAUUUUCUCCCUUGUUGUUAUGGGACUUGUCUACCUUUUUGUUUGUUUGUUUCUUGUUGUAUACUUUGCUAUGUUCCAUUCUGAUUCACACUUCUUCUCCCGUUGACUUCUUUUCCAGUUUUCUCGCCAUGAACCAGGGGUAACUCGUGUUCUGGUAACAGGAGGAGCUGGCUUUAUUGGUUCACACCUGCUGCUCUCCGACUUCUAAAAGACUCAUAUCGUGUUACAAUAGUGGGUAAUCUCUCUUGGGGAAACUUUGGUGCUGUUAAGGUUCUUCAGGAGAAAUUCCCCGAACCUGGAAGGCUGCAAUUCAUAUCCGCUGAUUUGGGUGAUCCAAAAGCUGUAUCUUCCAGUCUUAGAUAGUUUUUUGGCCAAUGCGUAUGCGUAAAAUGUGAAUGUUGGAGUCUAUUCCUUAAUAAUUGGUUCAGGUAAAUAAAAUCUUCGAAUGCAUUUCACGGCUGUCGCAUAUGUAGGAGAAAGCAUUCUUGAACCUCUUAGAUUCCAAUAAAUUCAAUCAUGAGUGUUUGAGUGCUGGUGCAUUUUGUUACUUUGUUUGACCAAAGGCUGCAAGAGAUAUUAUCGCAAAAUUUUAAUGUAAUUGAUAAGUAUAGAUUCCAAUAAAUCCAUAUGGGAAGAUGGCAGAAGAUAUCAUACUAGACUUUGCAAAUAACUCAGACAUGCGUGUGAUGAUUUUAAGAUAUUUCAAUGUGAUUGGAUCUGAUCCUGUUGGGGGAAGCUCCCAGACCUGAACUACUUCGGAUUUCAGGGGCUUGCCUUGGGAAUCAUACCUGGCCUGAAGGGUACGGAUUAUAGCACAGCUGAUGGAACCUGCAUAAGAGACUACAUUGAUAUUACUGAUCUAAUUGAUUUAAGGCACUGGUAAUGGUGCAGCCAAGGUGGGUGGGGCGAGGGGUUUCACGUUCGGGCCACAAAGCAACUACCAAGUGUUAUGUAAAGUUUGGGAAGGAGGAGGAGCUUCCAGUGACAGUGAAGUUGUGUGGAUGGAGGAGGACAGCACGUUGAUAAUAAUAAUAAUAAUAAUAAUUUGAUGACAGAUCAAACUAUAUUCGGAGAUUGAAAAAGGAGAAGGGAUCUUUGGAAUUGUUGUUUGCUAAUAGAGGGUUUGGACAGUGAAUGGUUUAAACAGACCUGGACCUCGUUCAUUCUCAGUUGUUGGAGCUGGAGUUGUCUCGUUAUCAUGUAACGGUUAUGGCGGAUAAGUAUCAAAAAGAAGAAAGAAGAGAUGCAUGCAUGUUUUUCUUAUUUACGUAUUAAGUUAGAGAUAUGGUUCUUGGAUCAGAAAUGCAGCUCAAGUGUUCAUCACCACACUAAAUAACAGUUAGUGUGUAUGUUGCAACUUGUAAAUAGGAAAUGAACAAACAUAUUCAGUCUCUAGAAUUUUCAAUUGUUUGGAAGUGGUUAAGCCCCACAGGACAUUAAGCUGGAUUUGGAUUUGUUGUCAGUUUGUCUUCUCAUUCAGUUGGAGGGAGUAUGUUCCUUGUUCUUUCGUAAGGAAGGAUUUCUGUGGCGCAUUAUUAAAUAUUGUUUUGUAGGCAUGGAUUACCCAGAAGCGAAAAAGAAGAGAAAUUUUGCUGGAAAGAUUUUGUUGGCUGCCGUGUUAACUGUUCUGUGUAUAUAUAUUCUGAAGAACUCAUCUGGUUUUACCACCCCAACCCCUUUCUCUCGCCAUGAACCAGGAGUAACUCAUGUUCUAGUAACAUGAGGAUGUGGGUUUAUUGGUUCGCAUGCUGCUCUCCGACUUCUCAAGGACGACUACCGUGCACGAUAGUGGAUAAUCUCUCUUGGGGAAACUUUGGUGCUGUUAAGGUUCUUCAGGAGCAAUUCCUCGAACCUGAAUAGCUGCAAUUCAUGAUUUGGGUGAUCCAAUAGCUGUAAAUAAAAUCUUCCGGGAGAAUGCAUUUCGCGGCUGUUGCACAUGUGGGAGAAAGCAUUCUUGAACCUCUUAGGUAUUAUCAAACAUAACAUCGAACACCGUAGUAGUAGUACUAGAGGCAAUGGCAGCACAUGGAGUGAAGACGUUAAUUUAUUCGAUAAUUUUUUUUUCUAUUCUGAUAUCAAUUUGUUGAUAGUGUAGAUUCCAAUAAAUCCAUAUUGUAAAGCCAAGAAGAUGGCCGAAGAUAUCAUACUAGACUUGUCAAUUAACUCAGACAUGGUUGUGAUGAUUUUAAGGUGAACUUGUUUCUGAUAAA